GCUGCAUUGCAGCUUCUGUGACAAUAUUCCGGGAUCGUAACUUCUCUAGAAACGUCAUUUCCAUAAACAACAGGAAUGUCUAUUUGGUGUUUUCGUAUUUUUGGUUUUUCGUGGGACUUCCGAUGGGUGUCUUUUCUGCCAUAUUUCGUAUCAUAAAAACAAUGAUUGUGGGAUUUCUGAUGUUGCCCAGAAUUGAUCAUAGCAUCAUGCCUGAUGGUUUUCAACGGUUUGAUCCAGGUUACAAUGCGUACAUCUGUUAUCUUCACGUCCAAGCAGCUUUCAGGAACCCAGUUCUUCGA